rnacentral:lncRNA from 1 species
UAGGAUUAUUGACUUCCAGACAGUAAGGUUGUCUGUGUACUAACUACAUCCUAUAUCUGCUCUCAGCACUCAAGGAUGUGAUGGAGAGGAUUUCUCAGCCAACCAACAUCUCAACACAGACCAAGAACCUGUCUAACAUGGACCCCUUCUCCAAACGCAAUGCUAUGAGUGAUUAGUAAACAUUUGUUGGUGUAUCCAAAGUACCAUUUGAAACAAACCUGCCUUACUUUCCUGAAACUGAUAUGAUGAUUUUUGGAUCUCUCCGCGGCCUAGCUCAGCUGGUUGAAGCUGGCUGGUGUGGUAGCGGUCCAGCGGGGCAGCCUGUGGGAGAGGGCAGUGUUCAUGGUGCCGAGCCAGACCUUAAUGCAGGGCCUGGGGGACGUGAGUGAGACCCAGCACCUCCACACCGCCCAGUGUGUCUACUCCCUGCUGGAGCUUUCAAUGCUGGAACUUACCCAGAAAGACAUGCCUCAGCAGGAGGAUAGUCAUGGAAGAGUACCUGUAGAGGGCAGGGCAGAGAGACAGCGUAUGGGGUGCUGCUGGUGUCACUGCUGGUGUCACUGCUUAGAGGACUCUUAUCUAGUCAAGUGCCACGACGCUUCCUUCAAAAAUGUUCCUUUUUCGAAAGCAAUUGGCUGCAUAUUGUUUUUCAUCAUGUUCAAGUAA